rnacentral:rRNA from 1 species
GACGUAGGGCGCGAGCGUUGUCCGGAUUUAUUGGGCGUAAAGAGCUCGUAGGCGGUUUGUCACGUCGGCUGUGAAAACCCGAGGCUCAACCUCGGGCCUGCAGUCGAUACGGGCAGACUAGAGUAUGGCAGGGGAGACUGGAAUUCCUGGUGUAGCGGUGAAAUGCGCAGAUAUCAGGAGGAACACCGGUGGCGAAGGCGGGUCUCUGGGCCAUAACUGACGCUGAGGAGCGAAAGCGUGGGGAGCGAACAGG